rnacentral:lncRNA from 1 species
UUUCAUUGUCAGGAUCAAUAUUUAACUGUGAUCCACCAAUGUGUCCUAGGAUAACUCGUACUAUCUUAUCUCAGAGUUGCUUAAUUGUAGGUCUCAUGAGCAAAUGUCUGUGGACAUGGUGGAUCAUAUUGUUGAGGAGCAUCAUAUUGAAAUAGAGACUGAGAUGGUGAAAAGAGUUAAGGUGGGCUAAUAGCUACAAGUGUUUUACUCUCUCUUUUCUUCAUUCAAGUUUCUAUCAUCUGUUAUUUAAAACUUUUACUUUCAAGAAAGUCUAGACUUUAUGUUUUCUUGAUACUGCAGCUUUGGUGCCUUGACAGUUGAAAAUGAUUUCAGAGAAUUCUUCUUAUGUCAUUUUUUGUAUCAUUAAUUAUUGAGUUGUUAUUUUUGCUCAAAGAUUGCAUUCAAUUAUUAGGUACUUGUUAGGUGUGCCUGGUGGGGUGAAGCGUUAUUCAAAAUGUGUUAACUUUAAUCUCAAUCAUCUGUAUACCACAUGAUAAUAUCGAUGGUUAAGGACUUAAGGUAGUUUGCACUCUUUUACUGGAUAGAGCAAAUCUAUGUUGCCAUCAGAAAUUUUUACCUCAAAAUGCACCAUUUUGGUUAGAUGCCAUGUCAAGAAGUAUGCCAGUGCCACCAAGACUUAAGUCAAUUCUGGGAUUAUUAUCAUGAAUGUAUUGACUUUAAAAUGUACAGUUCUGAUGCCUGUAAGACUUAAUUUCCACGUCUGAAACAAAAUGGAUGUUAUAAAAUUAGAGUAGAUUCCGUUGCCAAGAUUUUGGGAGCUUAUUGGGUGAUGAAACGUAAGUUAUUGUUCUACAAAUGAUAAAUACUCUUACUUUAUGAUUUUAAUAAAAUACACAACCAUGUGUGGUUUUAAUUAAAAAAAUAACCAAUAGUGUUGGUUGGCAGUCUGAUAGAAUAGAUGAGUCAAUGUUGUGAUACCAAGUCUUGGUACUCUUCUCUCUCUCUCUCUCUCUCUGCGAUUUAUCUUAAGAUAAAAAUAUUUACUUCUACAAUUAGUGUUAGACUCUCCCUCUCAACUAGACAUUGUACUCCAAACGUGUGAGUUUUUAUCACUUUUUCUAUUUUCAUUGACCUGUAACUCAUUGCCAGGAAAUGAUACUUGCAAGUUCCAAGUUUCCCAUGGACAAAGUAAGUCUUGUUCUCAUAUUUACUAAGUUAUGAUGUGUGUUAUGUCAUUAAUAUGUAUAAAUUGCGUACUUAAAAUACAAUUGUAUCUCUUUUAUUCUUAUAACUUUUAUGGUCACAUCAAAGCUUUAUACUAUUUGACAUGUUCAUAUUUUCUCUUAUUUCAAGAGUGCAAGGGAAAAGUUUUUUCUGUAUGAUAUUGUGGCGAAUGGUCGAAAUGGAAUUGAUGUCGACAAGUUAGUAACUACGAUGCUGGGAUCCAGUUUUCUUAUUUGAAUGUUAUGUGUAUUUUCCCUUCUUCUAUCCCCUCUUUUUUGUUUCCCUUCUGUUGCUUACAAGUACGUAAACUGGUUGUCAGGUUUGAUUACAUUGUUCGCGAUUCCCGAGCAUGUGGUCUUGGUUGCAAUUUCCAGUUUCAGAGGUGUUUGUUCGAUCGAUCGAUCUUCAAAAUUUUAGCACAUGCACACGUUCGAAUAUUUAUAAACGAGCUGGGUGAAGAUAGUUACAAAAUAUUAAUAGAUUUACUAUGGUAUUUUUUUUAUGACUGUCAGGUUGAUGGAAACAAUGAGAGUCAUGGGAGACGAG